UACGUAGGGGGCUAGCGUUGUCCGGAAUCAUUGGGCGUAAAGAGCGUGUAGGCGGCCAGAUAAGUCCGCUGUGAAAUCUCGAGGCUCAACUUCGAGCUGUCGGUGGAAACUAUCUGGCUAGAGUCCGGAAGAGGAGAAUGGAAUUCCUGGUGUAGCGGUGAAAUGCGCAGAUAUCAGGAAGAACACCCGUGGCGAAGGCGGUUCUCUGGGACGGUACUGACGCUGAGACGCGAAAGCGUGGGGGAGCGAACAGG
rnacentral:rRNA from 1 species